rnacentral:rRNA from 1 species
UGCAGUCGAACGCGCAGCGAGAGGUGCUUGCACCUUUCAAGCGAGUGGCGAACGGGUGAGUAACACGUGGAUAACCUGCCUCAAGGCUGGGGAUAACAUUUGGAAACAGAUGCUAAUACCGAAUAAAACUUAGUAUCGCAUGAUAUCAAGUUAAAAGGCGCUACGGCGUCACCUAGAGAUGGAUCCGCGGUGCAUUAGUUAGUUGGUGGGGUAAAGGCUUACCAAGACGAUGAUGCAUAGCCGAGUUGAGAGACUGAUCGGCCACAUUGGGACUGAAACACGGCCCAAACUCCUACGGGAGGCUGCAGUAGGGAAUCUUCCACAAUGGGCGCAAGCCUGAUGGAGCAACGCCGCGUGUGUGAUGAAGGCUUUCGGGUCGUAAAGCACUGUUGUAUGGGAAGAAAUGCUAAAAUAGGGAAUGAUUUUAGUUUGACGGUACCAUACCAGAAAGGGACGGCUAAAUACGUGCCAGCAGCCGCGGUAAUACGUAUGUCCCGAGCGUUAUCCGGAUUUAUUGGGCGUAAAGCGAGCGCAGACGGUUGAUUAAGUCUGAUGUGAAAGCCCGGAGCUCAACUCCGGAAUGGCAUUGGAAACUGGUUAACUUGAGUGUUGUAGAGGUAAGUGGAACUCCAUGUGUAGCGGUGGAAUGCGUAGAUAUAUGGAAGAACACCAGUGGCGAAGGCGGCUUACUGGACAACAACUGACGUUGAGGCUCGAAAGUGUGGGUAGCAAACAGGAUUAGAUACCCUGGUAGUCCACACCGUAAACGAUGAAUACUAGGUGUUAGGAGGUUUCCGCCUCUUAGUGCCGAAGCUAACGCAUUAAGUAUUCCGCCUGGGGAGUACGACCGCAAGGUUGAAACUCAAAGGAAUUGACGGGGACCCGCACAAGCGGUGGAGCAUGUGGUUUAAUUCGAAGCAACGCGAAGAA